rnacentral:rRNA from 1 species
UCCUGCACAAUGGGCGCAAGCCUGACCCCCCAAUGCCGGGUGGGUUAAUAAGGUAUUGAGAAAGCAAAGCCCUUUCGGCAGUCCGGAUGAUGACGGACCCGCAGAAGAAGCCCCGGCUAACUUCGUGCCAGCAGCCGCGGUAAUACGAAGGGGGCUAGCGUUGCUCGGAAUCACUGGGCGUAAAGGGCGCGUAGGCGGCCCUGUUGGUCCGGCGUGAAAUCCCUGGGCUUAACCUGGGGAUUGCGCCGGAGACGGCAGGGCUGGAGGGCGAGAGAGGGUGGUGGAAUUCCCAGUGUAGCGGUGAAAUUCGUAGAUAUUGGAAGAACACCGGUGGCGAAGGCGGCCACCUGGGUAUGAACCUGACGCUGCAGGCACGA